CUACGGGCUGCUGCAGUGAGGAAUAUUGCACAAUGGGGGGAACCCUGAUGCUGCAACGCCGCGUGGAGGAUGACGCAUUUCGGUGUGUAAACUCCUUUUAUAUGUCAAGAAAAUUACGGUAGCAUAUGAAUAAGCACCGGCUAACUCCGUGCCAGCAGCCGCGGUAAUACGGAGGGUGCAAGCGUUACUCGGAAUCACUGGGCGUAAAGGACGCGUAGGCGGGUUGGAAAGUCAGGUGUGAAAUCCUACAGCUUAACUGUAGAACUGAACUUGAAACUUCUAAUCUAGAGUAUGGGAGGGGGAGAUGGAAUUAGUGGUGUAGGGGUAAAAUCCGUAGAUAUCACUAGGAAUACCUAAAGCGAAGGCGAUCUCCUGGAACAUUACUGACGCUAAGGCGUGAAAGCGUGGGGAGCAAACAGGAUUAGAUACCCGUGUAGUC
rnacentral:rRNA from 1 species